rnacentral:rRNA from 1 species
UACGUAGGGACCAAGCGUUGUUCGGAUUUACUGGGCGUAAAGGGCGCGUAGGCGGCUUAACAAGUCACUUGUGAAAUCUCCGGGCUUAACUCGGAACGGCCAAGUGAAACUGUAAGCUAGAGUGCAGAAGGGGCAAUCGGAAUUCUUGGUGUAGCGGUGAAAUGCGUAGAUAUCAAGAGGAACACCUGAGGUGAAGACGGGUUGCUGGGCUGACACUGACGCUGAGGCGCGAAAGCCAGGGGAGCAAACGGG